CUUUCUAAGUCCUCGGAGGCGACGUUCCGAAUCGUCGAGUUCUCGAAGACGACGCAGUCCUAGUCCCGGCAAGCGCACAAGCUCACGGUCAGGCGCACUUGAGUCAAGGCGCCACUCCGAUACCCGAAAAAGUAUGAGCCGCGAAACGAGGAGGCGCACAUCAUCCGAAGAUUACAAAUCUAAAUCAAAUGUCCAUUGUACAAAAGAGUAUAGAGAGUCUCGAGAGAGAAGGAAAGGUCGUUCGCAUGAUCGGCGAGAAAGACGGGAUUCUUCGAGGGAGCGUCGGCUUUCUCCAACUUAUUUCGAGCGAAUGCCAUUCCCCGGCCAUUAUUGGGUAAUUUCUUUUAGACAAUUUGUAUAUGGAAAAAGAACCUUAAAAAGCCAAGUGCCAACCUUAAAGCUACGCUAAUGUUAACAAAUGACAAAUUCACGAACGAUGCUCCAAAUUAUCCGAAUUUUCCGGCCCGAAAUGAUCACGUCGUCACGAGGACGACCGCAACCUAAUAAUAAGCCCGCAAAACAUUUUAAUCCGAAAAC